CUUGGUCAUUUAGAGGAAGUAAAAGUCGUAACAAGGUUUCCGUAGGUGAACCUGCGGAAGGAUCAUUAUUGAAAUAAACCUGAUGGGUUGUUGCUGGCUCUCUAGGGAGCAUGUGCACACCUUGUCAUCUUUAUAUCUCCACCUGUGCACUUUUUGUAGACCUUUCAGGUCUAUGUUGCUUCAUUUACCCCAAUGUAUGUUAAUAGAAUGUUGUGCCUAUAUAAUAUAUACAACUUUCAGCAACGGAUCUCUUGGCUCUCGCAUCGAUGAAGAACGCAGCGAAAUGCGAUAAGUAAUGUGAAUUGCAGAAUUCAGUGAAUCAUCGAAUCUUUGAACGCACCUUGCGCUCCUUGGUAUUCCGAGGAGCAUGCCUGUUUGAGUGUCAUUAAUAUAUCAACCUUCUCUUUUUUGAGUUGUUUGGAUGUGGGGGUUUGCUGGCAUCUUAAAUGAUUCAGCUCCCCUGAAAUGCAUUAGCAGAACAAACCUGUUCAUUGGCGUGAUAAUUAUCUAUGCUAUUGAAUGUGAGGGCAGUUCAGCUUUCUAACCGUCCUUGGACAAUUCAUCAUUAAUGUGACCUCAAAUCAGGUAGGACUACCCGCUGAACUUAAGCAUAUCAAUAAGCGGAGGA
rnacentral:rRNA from 1 species